GACGAACCGUGCGAACGUUGUUCGGAAUCACUGGGCUUAAAGGGCGCGUGGGCGGCUUGCCAAGUCAGGGGUGAAAUCUUUCGGCUCAACCGGAAAAGUGCCUUUGAUACUGGCAAGCUCGAGGGAGGUAGGGGUAUGUGGAACUUCCGGUGGAGCGGUGAAAUGCGUUGAUAUCGGAAGGAACGCCGGUGGCGAAAGCGACGUACUGGACCUCUUCUGACGCUGAGGCGCGAAAGCCAGGGGAGCAAACGGG
rnacentral:rRNA from 1 species